rnacentral:lncRNA from 1 species
UGCGGCUCUUCAAGGGACCUGAAGAGAUAUCCACAAUCAUCAAACUAUGGUGAAUAACUAUCCAUACUAAGGUGAAGAUGAGGUCUUCAUAUUUAUGUAUUUGAUAUAUUUAAUUUCUGCUUUGGAUCUCAAAGACUUGAUAGGCAUGGUCUUAUGAGAUGAGAUCUAAUAGAUGCAUGCUAGGUUAAUUUAGUUUCUGCUGCAUUAAAUUUUUAUUGAUCUAGCAUGCACCCCUAUGGUUUUUUCUUCAUUUAUAAUCUCAUAAUUAACAUAUAUACC